UGGGGCCUUUCCAAAUGCCAGGACUCUUUUUGGGAACGCACUCGUGCCUCCUGCUUGGAACGGACAGAAUUUUCCACCGACUCAGAGCUUCGAACUCCUUCCUGAGGAGAGAGACUUGCCCCAGCACUACUUGUUGAGAAGACUCUUCUUUCUACAUAGAAUCGCCUUCGCUCUUUCGUCAAAGAUCAGUCAGGAAGGACUCCAGGAGAGGCAGCGACUAGCCACAGUUGGUGAGCAUCUCCCUCAGCUCUGAUCCUCUCCUUCCUGUGUGGAUCAGAAUGUAUGAUUCCUCCUCUGUCAAGUCAGAAAGUCAAAGCCACUGGGCCGGGGGCAGCCAGCGAAUGGGAGGCGUGGUCUUUCUGUUGAGUGAGAAGCCUCUGCUUGUUCAAAAACGCCUGCUUGGGUAUCUCUGCUUUUCCUGGCUUGAAG